rnacentral:rRNA from 1 species
UAGGGAAUCUUCCGCAAUGGACGCAAGUCUGACGGAGCAACGCCGCGUGAGUGAAGAAGGAUUUCGGUUCGUAAAACUCUGUUGUUAGAGAAGAACAGCGCAUAGAGUAACUGUUAUGCGUGUGACGGUAUCUAACCAGAAAGCCACGGCUAACUACGUGCCAGCAGCCGCGGUAAUACGUAGGUGGCAAGCGUUGUCCGGAUUUAUUGGGCGUAAAGCGAGCGCAGGCGGUCAAUUAAGUCUGAUGUGAAAGCCCCCGGCUCAACCGGGGAGGGUCAUUGGAAACUGGUUGACUUGAGUCCAGAAGAGGAGAGUGGAAUUCCAUGUGUAGCGGUGAAAUGCGUAGAUAUAUGGAGGAACACCAGUGGCGAAGGCGACUCUCUGGUCUGUAACUGACGCUGAGGCUCGAAAGCGUGGGUAGCAAACAGG